UAUGGAAAUUGAUGGUAAGAGAUGA
rnacentral:piRNA from 1 species